rnacentral:misc_RNA from 1 species
AAGUCGUAACAAGGUUUCCGUAGGUGAACCUGCGGAAGGAUCAUUAAAAAAGAUAAUAAUCCAAAUUUAUUUUGUGUGCAUCUAUUGAUCAAUAUAUUUUGACAAAUUUUGUUUUUUUGUUAUUUUAAUAUUUUUAUAAAAAUAACAAAAACUUAAAGAUUAAAAUUUAAAUCUUAAAUUUGUCAAAGUUUUUUUUAAUUUAAUACUAUGAAUUUUAAAAUUAAAUAUUAAUAAUUUAAUAUAAUUUAAUACAACUUUCAACAACGGAUCUCUUGGCUCUC